rnacentral:miRNA from 1 species
CCCUUAUACUGCCUUUAGUACU